UACGAAGGGGGCUAGCGUUGUUCGGAUUUACUGGGCGUAAAGCGCACGUAGGCGGAUCGUUAAGUUAGGGGUGAAAUCCUGGAGCUCAACUCCAGAACUGCCUCUAAUACUGGCGAUCUAGAGUCCGGAAGAGGUGAGUGGAACUCCUAGUGUAGAGGUGGAAUUCGUAGAUAUUAGGAAGAACACCAGUGGCGAAGGCGGCUCACUGGUCCGGUACUGACGCUGAGGUGCGAAAGCGUGGGAAGCGAACAGG
rnacentral:rRNA from 1 species